AGUGAACGCUGGCGGUAGGCCUAACACAUGCAAGUCGAACAGCAGCACAGUAAGAGCUUGCUCUUACGGGUGGCGAGUGGCGGACGGGUGAGGAAUACAUCGGAAUCUACUUUUUCGUGGGGGUUAACGUAGGGAAACUUACGCUAAUACCGCAUACGACCUACGGGUGAAAGCAGGGGAUCUUCGGACCUUGCGCGAUUGAAUUAGCCGAUGUCGGAUUAGCUAGUUGGCGGGGUAAUGGCCCACCAAGGCGACGAUCCGUAGCUGGUCUGAGAGGAUGAUCGGCGACACUGGAACUGGGACACGGUCCAGACUCCUACGGGAGGCAGCAGUGGGGAAUAUUGGACAAUGGGCGCAAGCCUGAUCCAGCCAUACCGCGUGGGUGAAGAAGGCCUUCGGGUUGUAAAGCCCUUUUGUUGGGAAAGAAAAGCAGCAGGUUAAUACCCCGCUGUUCUGACGGUACCCAAAGAAUAAGCACCGGCUAACUUCGUG
rnacentral:rRNA from 1 species